GCCUUUUCAAUAAUUUCACCCUACUACUCUUUAUUCUACUCCCCAGGGCCAAGAAGAACAAGCCUAAUACCUCUUCUAUAUGACCAUCCUUCAAAUAAUCGAAGAUAACCAUCAUGUCCCCUCCCCUUGAAUCUUCUUUUCUCAAGGUUAAACAACCCAAUUAUUUUGGCUUCUCAUAUGACAUCCAUCCUAAGCCCUAAGGAUCAUAUGUCUACAAACUGAGACAACUUUUGCCAUUUUCUAGUCCUGUGGCCCUUGUUCUUCACAACUCUUCAAAGAUCACUAACAAUGGCACAGCAGUCACUUCUUUAAGUUCUUUUAUUACCCUGGGAUUCAUAGAGGCUUGUGGACUUGAAGUCAUAAAAAUCAGGGUCACCGGGUGCCAAGAGAGAUGGUAUUUUCAAGGCAGAUGGUUUAUAUGCAUUAUCACCCAUUAUCCCUCCUACUGGACUCCCAAAACGUCCCAGAAGCUUGUGGAGGCUGCUUUGGCAGCAGUCAGGCAAGAAUGAGGAGGGAGCCCUCAUCCUGACCUUGAGAAGGAACAGACCAGGUAAGAAGUCCACCUGUUCUCCUGGGCAGGAAAUGACAGGGCUCAACCUUAGCCCUUAAGGCUGGUGCC
rnacentral:lncRNA from 1 species